UACGUAGGGUGCAAGCGUUGUCCGGAAUUAUUGGGCGUAAAGAGCUCGUAGGCGGUUUGUCGCGUCUGCUGUGAAAACUCAGGGCUUAACCCUGAGCUUGCAGUGGGUACGGGCAGACUAGAGUGCGGUAGGGGAGACUGGAAUUCCUGGUGUAGCGGUGAAAUGCGCAGAUAUCAGGAGGAACACCGGUGGCGAAGGCGGGUCUCUGGGCCGUAACUGACGCU
rnacentral:rRNA from 1 species